AACGAACGCUGGCGGCAGGCCUAACACAUGCAAGUCGAGCGCGCCCUUCGGGGUGAGCGGCGGACGGGUUAGUAACGCGUGGGAAUAUACCCGACACUAAGGAAUAGCCUCUGGAAACGGAGAGUAAUACCUUAUACGCCCUUCGGGGGAAAGAUUUAUCGGUGACGGAUUAGCCCGCGUUAGAUUAGAUAGUUGGUGGGGUAAUGGCCUACCAAGUCUACGAUCUAUAGCUGGUUUUAGAGGAUGAUCAGCAACACUGGGACUGAGACACGGCCCAGACUCCUACGGGAGGCAGCAGUGGGGAAUCUUGGACAAUGGGCGCAAGCCUGAUCCAGCCAUGCCGCGUGAGUGAUGAAGGCCUUAGGGUCGUAAAGCUCUUUCGCCAGAGAUGAUAAUGACAGUAUCUGGUAAAGAACCCCCGGCUAAACUCCGUGCCAGCCGCCGCGGUAAUU
rnacentral:rRNA from 1 species